rnacentral:rRNA from 1 species
AGAGUUUGAUCCUGGCUCAGAAUCAACGCUGGCGGCGUGCCUAACACAUGCAAGUCGAACGCGAAAGUCCCGCAAGGGAUUAGUAGAGUGGCAAACGGGUGAGUAACACGUGGGUGACCUGCCUUCGAGCGGGGGAUAACGUUCCGAAAGGAACGCUAAUACCGCAUAACAUCCUGGUCUUUUAAGAGAUGGUGAUCAAAGCCGGGGAUUCGCAAGAACCUGGCACUUGAAGAGGGGCCCGCGCCUGAUUAGCUAGUUGGUGGGGUAAUGGCCUACCAAGGCAACGAUCAGUAUCCGGCCUGAGAGGGCGGACGGACACACUGGGACUGAGACACGGCCCAGNACUCCUACGGGAGGCAGCAGUGGGGAAUUGUUCGCAAUGGGCGCAAGCCUGACGACGCAACGCCGCGUGGAGGAUGAAGACCUUCGGGUCGUAAACUCCUUUCGAUCGAGACGAAUGUUUUUCGGGUGAACAAUCCGGAAAAGUGACGGUACCGAGAGAAGAAGCCCCGGCUAACUCUGUGCCAGCAGCCGCGGUUAAUACAGGGGGGGCAAGCGUUGUUCGGAAUUACUGGGCGUAAAGGGCUCGUAGGUGGCCAACUAAGUCAGACGUGAAAUCCCUCAGCUUAACUGGGGAACUGCGUCUGAUACUGGAUGGCUUGAGUUUGGGAGAGGGAUGCGGANUUCCAGGUGUAGCGGUGAAAUGCGUANAUAUCUG